UACGUAGGGUGCAAGCGUUAAUCGGAAUGACUGGGCGUAAAGCGUGCGCAGGCGGUUUUAUUAGACAGGUGUGAAAUCCCCGAGCUUAACUUGGGAAUUGCAUUUGUGACUGUAAGGCUAGAGUGUGUCAGAGGGGGGUGGAAUUCCACGUGUAGCAGUGAAAUGCGUAGAUAUGUGGAGGAACACCAAUGGCGAAGGCAGCCCCCUGGGAUAUCACUGACUCUCAUGCACGAAAGCGUGGGGAGCAAACAGG
rnacentral:rRNA from 1 species